rnacentral:rRNA from 1 species
GGUUAAGCGACUAAGCGUACACGGUGGAUGCCCUGGCAGUCAGAGGCGAUGAAGGACGUGCUAAUCUGCGAUAAGCGCCGGUAAGGUGAUAUGAACCGUUAUAACCGGCGAUUUCCGAAUGGGGAAACCCAGUGUGACUCGUCACACUAUCAUUAACUGAAUCCAUAGGUUAAUGAGGCGAACCGGGGGAACUGAAACAUCUAAGUACCCCGAGGAAAAGAAAUCAACCGAGAUUCCCCCAGUAGCGGCGAGCGAACGGGGAGGAGCCCAGAGCCUGAAUCAGCAUGUGUGUUAGUGGAAGCGUCUGGAAAGGCGCGCGAUACAGGGUGACAGCCCCGUACACAAAAGCGCAUGUGCUGUGAGCUCGAUGAGUAGGGCGGGACACGUGGUAUCCUGUCUGAAUAUGGGGGGACCAUCCUCCAAGGCUAAAUACUCCUGACUGACCGAUAGUGAACCAGUACCGUGAGGGAAAGGCGAAAAGAACCCCGGCGAGGGGAGUGAAAAAGAACCUGAAACCGUGUACGUACAAGCAGUGGGAGCACCCUUUGGGGUGUGACUGCGUACCUUUUGUAUAAUGGGUCAGCGACUUAUAUUCUGUAGCAAGGUUAACCGAAUAGGGGAGCCGGAGGGAAACCGAGUCUUAAUUGGGCGUUAAGUUGCAGGGUAUAGACCCGAAACCCGGUGAUCUAGCCAUGGGCAGGUUGAAGGUUGGGUAACACUAACUGGAGGACCGAACCGACUAAUGUUGAAAAAUUAGCGGAUGACCUGUGGCUGGGGGUGAAAGGCCAAUCAAACCGGGAGAUAGCUGGUUCUCCCCGAAAGCUAUUUAGGUAGCGCCUCGUGAAUUCAUCUCCGGGGGUAGAGCACUGUUUCGGCUAGGGGGCCAUCCCGGCUUACCAACCCGAUGCAAACUGCGAAUACCGGAGAAUGUUAUCACGGGAGACACACGGCGGGUGCUAACGUCCGUCGUGAAGAGGGAAACAACCCAGACCGCCAGCUAAGGUCCCAAAGUCAUGGUUAAGUGGGAAACGAUGUGGGAAGGCCCAGACAGCCAGGAUGUUGGCUUAGAAGCAGCCAUCAUUUAAAGAAAGCGUAAUAGCUCACUGGUCGAGUCGGCCUGCGCGGAAGAUGUAACGGGGCUAAACCAUGCACCGAAGCUGCGGCAGCGACGCUGAUGCGUUGUUGGGUAGGGGAGCGUUCUGUAAGCCUGUGAAGGUGGCCUGUGAGGGUUGCUGGAGGUAUCAGAAGUGCGAAUGCUGACAUAAGUAACGAUAAAGCGGGUGAAAAGCCCGCUCGCCGGAAGACCAAGGGUUCCUGUCCAACGUUAAUCGGGGCAGGGUGAGUCGACCCCUAAGGCGAGGCCGAAAGGCGUAGUCGAUGGGAAACGGGUUAAUAUUCCCGUACUUGGUGUUACUGCGAAGGGGGGACGGAGAAGGCUAUGUUGGCCGGGCGACGGUUGUCCCGGUUUAAGCGUGUAGGCUGGUUUUCCAGGCAAAUCCGGAAAAUCAAGGCUGAGGCGUGACGACGAGGCACUACGGUGCUGAAGCAACAAAUGCCCUGCUUCCAGGAAAAGCCUCUAAGCAUCAGGUAACAUCAAAUCGUACCCCAAACCGACACAGGUGGUCAGGUAGAGAAUACCAAGGCGCUUGAGAGAACUCGGGUGAAGGAACUAGGCAAAAUGGUGCCGUAACUUCGGGAGAAGGCACGCUGACACGUAGGUGAAGUGAUUUACUCAUGGAGCUGAAGUCAGUCGAAGAUACCAGCUGGCUGCAACUGUUUAUUAAAAACACAGCACUGUGCAAACACGAAAGUGGACGUAUACGGUGUGACGCCUGCCCGGUGCCGGAAGGUUAAUUGAUGGGGUCAGCGCAAGCGAAGCUCCUGAUCGAAGCCCCGGUAAACGGCGGCCGUAACUAUAACGGUCCUAAGGUAGCGAAAUUCCUUGUCGGGUAAGUUCCGACCUGCACGAAUGGCGUAAUGAUGGCCAGGCUGUCUCCACCCGAGACUCAGUGAAAUUGAACUCGCUGUGAAGAUGCAGUGUACCCGCGGCAAGACGGAAAGACCCCGUGAACCUUUACUAUAGCUUGACACUGAACAUUGAGCCUUGAUGUGUAGGAUAGGUGGGAGGCUUUGAAGUGUGGACGCCAGUCUGCAUGGAGCCGGCCUUGAAAUACCACCCUUUAAUGUUUGAUGUUCUAACGUGGACCCGUGAUCCGGGUUGCGGACAGUGUCUGGUGGGUAGUUUGACUGGGGCGGUCUCCUCCUAAAGAGUAACGGAGGAGCACGAAGGUUGGCUAAUCCUGGUCGGACAUCAGGAGGUUAGUGCAAUGGCAUAAGCCAGCUUGACUGCGAGCGUGACGGCGCGAGCAGGUGCGAAAGCAGGUCAUAGUGAUCCGGUGGUUCUGAAUGGAAGGGCCAUCGCUCAACGGAUAAAAGGUACUCCGGGGAUAACAGGCUGAUACCGCCCAAGAGUUCAUAUCGACGGCGGUGUUUGGCACCUCGAUGUCGGCUCAUCACAUCCUGGGGCUGAAGUAGGUCCCAAGGGUAUGGCUGUUCGCCAUUUAAAGUGGUACGCGAGCUGGGUUUAGAACGUCGUGAGACAGUUCGGUCCCUAUCUGCCGUGGGCGCUGGAGAACUGAGGGGGGCUGCUCCUAGUACGAGAGGACCGGAGUGGACGCAUCACUGGUGUUCGGGUUGUCAUGCCAAUGGCACUGCCCGGUAGCUAAAUGCGGAAGAGAUAAGUGCUGAAAGCAUCUAAGCACGAAACUUGCCCCGAGAUGAGUUCUCCCUGAGACUUUAGGUCUCCUGAAGGAACGUUGAAGACGACGACGUUGAUAGGCCGGGUGUGUAAGCGCAGCGAUGCGUUGAGCUAACCGGUACUAAUGAACCGUGAGGCUUAACCUU